GCGGCGCCCAGGGACCGGCUCCAGGCGGCGGCGGGCGGGGAGCUGCCAGGAGGAGCCCAGGCACCAUACUGUCUUUUCGAGGUAGGAGUCGACUCCUGUGAGGUAUGGUGCUGGGUGCAGAUGCAGUGUGGCUCUGGAUAGCACCUUAUGGACAGUUGUGUCCCCAAGGAAGGAUGAGAAUAGCUACUGAAGUCCUAAAGAGCAAGCCUAACUCAAGCCAUUGGCACACAGGCAUUAGACAGAAAGCUGGAAGUUGAAAUGGUGGAGUCCAACUUGCCUGGACCAGCUUAAUGGUUCUGCUCCUGGUAACGUUUUUAUCCAUGGAUGACUUGCUUGGGUAAGGACAUGAAGACAGUUCCUGUCAUACCUUUUAAAGGUAUGGAGAGUCGGCUUGACUACACUGUGUGGAGCAAGUUUUAAAGAAGCAAAGGACUCAGAAUUCAUGAUUGAAGAAAUGCAGGGUUUUUAAUGACCACAACAAGCAAGCAUGCAGCUUACUGCUUGAAAGGCUGGAGUGCAGUGGU
rnacentral:lncRNA from 10 species